rnacentral:rRNA from 1 species
GAUGAACGCUGGCGGCGUGCCUAAUACAUGCAAGUCGAGCGAACGGACGAGAAGCUUGCUUUUCUGAUGUUAGCGGCGGACGGGUGAGUAACACGUGGAUAACCUACCUAUAAGACUGGGAUAACUUCGGGAAACCGGAGCUAAUACCGGAUAAUAUUUUGAACCGCAUGGUUCAUAAGUGAAAGACGGUCUUGCUGUCACUUAUAGAUGGAUCCGCGCUGCAUUAGCUAGUUGGUAAGGUAACGGCUUACCAAGGCAACGAUGCAUAGCCGACCUGAGAGGGGGAUCGGCCACACUGGAACUGAGACACGGUCCAGACUCCUACGGGAGGCAGCAGUAGGGAAUCUGCCGCAAUGGGCGAAAGCCUGACGGAGCAACGCCGCGUGAGUGAUGAAGGUCUUCGGAUCGUAAAACUCUGUUAUUAGGGAAGAACAUAUGUGUAAGUAACUGUGCACAUCUGGACGGUACCUAAUCAGAAAGCCACGGCUAACUACGU